ACAUGCUAAACUGUUGAAUAGUUUACCUGAAGAAAAGUGGGAGCCACAAACACGAUCUCUGCUGCUUUCCUGUUGAUGGCUGAAGCCACCGCCAUCUUCUCUCUCCUGACAUCGGUAUUCAGUGAAAUUCCAAGCCUGAUCCCUUCUCAAAACGCUUCGUACAACCAACAACUACACACGAUAUUACCAUUGUGGUAAAUACAUGUGACAUUUCAUUCAUGAAAAGCGAUAACUUUACGUAUUUGUUUCAAACCCGAUACCGUUCUCGUAGCAAGCCGUUAUGUUACUGCCGGUUCUUGCCAACCAGCAGCGGUCUUGUACCACGUGACCAUAGCUAAUGACGACACGCUGGCGUCUCCCAUUGUUUGCCAGCCAGUUAGCCGCUGGUAAGCUAACAAGCUAUGAAACAACUCCUUAUAAACCGGAGGAAAGCAGCAGCAAUAUUUCAGUCCAAGACCUGUAUUCAGAACCUCCCACGCUGUUACACAAUGACCCAUUAAUCAUAUUACUGAACUAUAUGGUUAUCAUUGAAAUUUCCCUUGAAGAACCAGUGAACUCUUUGCGAACACAUUUUAAUUUAUGUGUUGAUUAUGUUUCGUAUCAGUAAUACAAGUCUAAAAAACUGAUUCAAAUGAUCAAGUUAACACAAUGAAGUAAAGAGUACUGGUAAUCUGCAGCUAUUUUCAUAAUUUCAAGGUGAAAUUCUGAUGUGUGAUUUUCUAGCUUUGCAGAUGUGGAAAUCCAAUGCACUGAUUUCUUAUACACAGAUGCUUUUGGUGUUUUUUGUUGUAAAAUAAAACAAGGCAUUUAUCACUGUUGGAAAUGAUUACAGGUAUUAUUUGUAACACUUUCUAACAUUGUAUGGACAAAGCAAUAAAUCAGUUAAUGGAUAAAAUCAUUUGUAUUACAGAUGCUAUCAACAGCAUGUCUUGUUCAUUUUAUUUAGUUGUCGGCCUUGGAUGAUGAGGUCCAGUUACCAGGAGCACUAGUCUGCAGCUUGCUGGUUCCGUCCUGCAGCUCCUCCACGCCGUCCUCCUCUCUACAGACCAAAUCAAGAAAAGGGAACCAGGAAGCUGCUGUGGAUCCUCUGCAGUAUCUGGACAGGUCAGAGGAACGGUUCUUGGAACAGAUCGGAAGACACCAAGACGUGACCUCUGCCAUGCUCCAGAACAUCCAGAAGAUGAAUGAAAACCUUGGUUGCACUGAUGGGACGCAUGGUGUCGGUGCUGGAGCAACUGUCCCAGAAUUAAACUGCAUUGUUGACGAUUGGCUUUUCUAGAAAAUAAAUCUUUUUUAGUACUUCA